UACGGAGGGUCCAAGCGUUAUCCGGAAUUACUGGGCGUAAAGAGUUGCGUAGGUGGCAUUGUAAGUAGAUAGUGAAAGCGUGGGGCUCAACCUCAUAUCCAUUAUCUAAACUGCAAAGCUAGAGGGCGAGAGAGGUAACUAGAAUUCCUUGUGUAGGAGUGAAAUCCGUAGAUAUAAGGAGGAAUACCGAUGGCGUAGGCAGGUUACUGGCUCGUCCCUGACACUAAGGCACGAAAGCGUGGGGAGCAAACGGG
rnacentral:rRNA from 1 species